AGUGAACGCUGGCGGUAGGCCUAACACAUGCAAGUCGAACGGCAGCACAGUAAGAGCUUGCUCUUACGGGUGGCGAGUGGCGGACGGGUGAGGAAUACAUCGGAAUCUACUUUUUCGUGGGGGAUAACGUAGGGAAACUUACGCUAAUACCGCAUACGACCUACGGGUGAAAGCAGGGGAUCUUCGGACCUUGCGCGAUUGAAUGAGCCGAUGUCGGAUUAGCUAGUUGGCGGGGUAAAGGCCCACCAAGGCGACGAUCCGUAGCUGGUCUGAGAGGAUGAUCCGCCACACUGGAACUGAGACACGGUCCAGACUCCUACAGGAGGCAGCAGUGGGGAAUAUUGGGCAAUGGGCGCAAGCCUGAUCCAGCCAUACCGCGUGAGUGAAGAAGGCCUUCGGGUUGUAAAGCCCUUUUGUUGGGAGAGAAAAGCAGCAGGUUAAUACCCCGCUGUUCUGACGGUACCCAAAGAAUAAGCACCGGCUAACUUCGUG
rnacentral:rRNA from 1 species